GGGUUGUGAGGUUAAGCGACUAAGCGUACACGGUGGAUGCCCUGGCAGUCAGAGGCGAUGAAGGACGUGCUAAUCUGCGAUAAGCGUCGGUAAGGUGAUAUGAACCGUUAUAACCGGCGAUUUCCGAAUGGGGAAACCCAGUGUGUUUCGACACACUAUCAUUAACUGAAUCCAUAGGUUAAUGAGGCGAACCGGGGGAACUGAAACAUCUAAGUACCCCGAGGAAAAGAAAUCAACCGAGAUUCCCCCAGUAGCGGCGAGCGAACGGGGAGGAGCCCAGAGCCUGAAUCAGUGUGUGUGUUAGUGGAAGCGUCUGGAAAGGCGCGCGAUACAGGGUGACAGCCCCGUACACAAAAAUGCACAUACUGUGAGCUCGAUGAGUAGGGCGGGACACGUGGUAUCCUGUCUGAAUAUGGGGGGACCAUCCUCCAAGGCUAAAUACUCCUGACUGACCGAUAGUGAACCAGUACCGUGAGGGAAAGGCGAAAAGAACCCCGGCGAGGGGAGUGAAAAAGAACCUGAAACCGUGUACG
rnacentral:rRNA from 1 species